UUGGAAAUACUGCACAUUCAAAGUAAACAAAGCCCCACAGAAGAGUCAAAGGAUGAGUAGUCAAAAGCACAUUUCUCCAAAGAAAACCUGCAAAUAGUUAAAGAAUAACCAAAUGUCAGUUUCAGAUUUCAUUCAUUCCACUGGAAGACAAAUCACAGAAUUCAAAAUUUUUACAAUUUUAAAGGAGGGACAUGGGAAUGAGUCACAUAAAAGCUGGGGGAACAGAGGUGUAGAAGAGACCGCAGCUGACAGAACUCUGGUCUUUUUUUCUCUACAAAUCAUUCUGUGGCGUUGUCAUGUGACAGGAAGUGGGGAUCAAUAGUGUAUAGCUCAUCUCUCCAGAGGGUUAGUGUCUUAGUUAGGGUCUAUUGCAGUGAUAAAACAUCAUGACCCAAAGCAACUCGAGGGGAAAGGGUUUAUUUCAGCCUUUGGUUCUACAUCACAAUCCGCCAUUGAAGAAAGUCAGGGGUGAGACUUGGAGGCAGAAACUGGAGGACAAGCAAGCCAUGGAUGAAUGCUACUUACUGGCUUGCUCCCCAUAGCUUGCUCAGCUUGCUUUCUAACAGCAUCCAGGACCAGCAGCCCAGGAGCGGCACCAACCCACGGAGAGCUGGGUUCUUUCACAGUAAUUAUCAAUCAAGAAAAUGCACCACAAGUUUUCCCACAGGCCAGUCCGGAGGCAGUGUUCUCUUAAUUGAGAUUCCCCUUCUGAAAUUUUGUCAAGUUGACAUAAAACUAGCCAACACAGCUACUGGAACCUAAUUCUGUCCUCAAGGCCAGAAUCUCAGGGAAGGGCUCUGGUUGACCCCUGUCAAUCAGCUGUGGCCUGAGGGUGAGCUGUGGAAAUUGUUCACUGUGGAUCUGUCAAGUGUGGCUUUCAAAAUUUUAGCCAAUUUUAAUAUAAAGGCUCUGGACACAGAAUUCAGGAGAAUGGAGCCUGUAUGUGAAUCAUGCGAUUAGAAUUUCAUAAUUAUUUUUAACCUCUUGUGCUGUACUCUGGGAAAAUUCCUCAGUUUCAUUUUCCAAAGCAUGAAUUAUUUUGUUCAACUAUGUUCUGUCCCAGGCCCUCCCAUCUGUUCAGACCUUGCAGUCCUGCAGUCCUCACUUCCAAGGCGGCUGUUCACACGGUCUCCUUGAUUCCUCCGCUCCCAGUUGUUUAAGAGUCAUUUCCGAGUUGCUCUCCAAUCUUCUUUUCAUCUGGACGGAGCUCUCAUAAUGCUUUUCUUGGCAAGUUUUACAUUUUCCUGUUUCUUUUCCAUGGAGAUGUUUGUUUCUUUUGAAGUGAAAUGUGGCAGUAUGAUUCUUUUCUCUUUCAGUAGGGAAGUGUGACUUCUGACUGAAUAGGUGCAGUUGGUGUGCGGGUGUGCGGGUGUGCGGGUGUGUUUUGACAGAAUGUCACUACUUAGGCCAGGCUGACCUGAAAUUCACUAAGUAGCUCUGCCUGGCCUUGGACUUGAGCUCUUCCUGCCCAUCUCAGCUUCAUGAGUACUGGGACUGCAGAUCUGCAGCAUUGAGUCUAUCUCUCAGCAGUUUUCUUCAUCUCUUUGAGGAUAUAUUUCUGUUGGGGGAAGAGUACUGACUGCAUAAAGGAAAUCAGAGAAGGGGAGAAAACAGUUUGUUGUGUAUGGAAGCAAUGCUUGAAGCAUGAGCAUAGAGGGUCAUUCAGUAACAAGUCCAAGGCCAGAGUUCUUAGGUAUGUCUGUGCCUCUGGGUCAGGUCUCCAUGUUGCUUCUCAUGACCUGACUUCAUUUACUAUAAGAUUAUUACAAGCACCAACUGCCUCUAACCCACGUGGUAUACAAUGCUGAUGAGAAACAAAGACGUUGUCAUACAUGCUUACCAUUACUAUCUGUGAGAAGAAGACCACCAGCAGCGGCUCCUGGUCCAACUCUUAGACACACCCAGCUGGGACGUUCUGGUGAGGUUGGAGGCCUGUGUGAACAUUACAGUCUCCAGAGCAGAGCAGGGAGUGAGUCUUCCAGUCAGCCAGGAUGGCCCUUCAGGUGUCUGUUACUCAGAUGAUUUCCUUUGCCCAUAUCUGUAGACACGUCAUGCUUUUGGCAGUGAAGAUUCCCUUGCCCAGGGCUAGACUACCUCAGGAACCAAACCACCACCUGUUGGUCUGAGUACUUUUAAAUUGCCCUGGAGCAGAGUUUCCCAAACUUGUUCCAUAAUAGAAAUUCUUGGGGAAUCUGAUAAAAAUACAGAUUUCCAAUCAUAUUCCAGAUCCACUGACUCUUCAGGGGAGGCGCCUUGGCAUCUGCAUUUUUAAUCACGAUCUGGGAAAGUUUAGGAAAUAACCACUUCAAUAGCUGAGCCCUACACAGCUUCACCGGCUUGGGACUUUUAUUUUUUAUUUUUUAAGAACUAAACCCUUAAUUCUUUCACCACACGAUCAUGAGUUCCUUUUGGUGCUGGUGAUGGGGUGAUCUAUUGGCCAGUAAACAACUCUAGAAAUGGUUGACCUGAGACUGUAACAGCAGAGGUCGGUGAUAGUCCUAGGGGUUGCACCCACCCCCAACAGGAAACAGUGUCAAGGAAAGGCAGUGCCGUCUCCAUGGCUGGGACUUUUGCUCACUGGGUGGGGUUGGGACAGUGAUGGGAAUUCCUGAUGGGAAGAGGGGGUGCAACAUUAUGUGCUUGUCUGGUUGCACUCUUUUCUGGGUGUCACUGUUCCAUGUUCCAAGACGCUGUGGCAUCUUCAUGGGUGCAGAUCGUCAGUGUGUGGAGAGAAGUAGGAUGUUGCUAUUCAACAGGAGAUAGGGCUGUAAACAAAUGACAGGACUUGGCACUCAUGACUGUUGACUGCUAACAGAAAGACCUCUCCUAAAUGUAGUCACCUGUCCAGAGGAUAACAAAGUCAUGAGUCUUUGGGGGCAAUCUCUCUCCCUCUCCCUCAUAUUUGCAUAACACAUUUCCUAGACCCAUAGUUUAGGAUCUGGGGGUGGGGUGGUGGUCAUGGUCAGCACCCUCUCCCUGUCAUAAUUCAGUCAUAUGGGGCUCAUCCAUGUCUACACUCCAGAGCAAGCUUCUGUUCCUGUAUCAAGGCCAAGGAUGAGAGGAGUAGGCUAGAGAGGCAUCUCAGAGAUUAGAAGCUCUUGCUGCUCUUACAGAGGACCCAAGUUCAGUUCCCAGCAUCCAUGAUGGGUGGGUCACAACUGGCUCUAAAUCCAACUGCAGAGGAUUGGACCCUUCCGGCCUCAACAGGCAUUCAGGCACACACACCCUCUGUCUGUCUCUGUCUCUCUGUCUCCCUCAUCCUCUCAUCCUCAUCCUCAUCCUCUCUCUCUCUCUCUCUCUCUCUCUCUCUCUCUCUCUCUCUCUCUCCACACACACACACACACACACACACACACACACACACACGUAAAUAAAUCCUUUAAGAACACUGUAUCAGGGAACUGUGACUGUGACUCGGCCGGCAGAGCGCUUGUUCAGCACGGAGCCUUCGGCUUGACCCCCAGCACGGUAUGACUGGGGCGAAAUAACGCACACCUGCAGUCCCAGCACUUGGAAUGUAGAAGCAAGAUCAAAAGUCCAAGGUCACCCACAGCUACAUGUGGAAUUCAAGGUCAGUCUAGGCUACAGGAGACGGCCAAAGAAACAAAAACAGCAAAAAACUCUUAGUGUACAUGAUAGACCCCAAACUGAAAUGCUUUUCACAGAUGUUGGGUGAAAGGGUCACACCCAGAAAAGCAGAGUGUCCCCACCUCCAUCCUGGCUUCCCUCUGCUCAUCCCACCCAGUUUUUGAACAGGCUUGGCUCAGAGAGCAGAAAUGUGACCCUCCUGGAAGUGUCACUGACUCACCUCUCCCCACAGCUAUGCACUUGGGGACUUCCCCCUCUAGUUGCAGAACUGACAAGGAAAUGCUGUGUAGGGCUCAGUUGGGGCCUUCUACAGUUCAAUCUUGUCCACAUGCCUAGGAAAAGCAUUUCCUGGGAGGGGAUACUUCCUCAGAGAAGAUAAACAAUAAAUGCAGUCCAAUCAAAAGUACACAUUCAAAUGACAGUAAAAACUGUUGGAAUGAAAUGAAAUAAAAUCCCUCAAUGCCUGUGUAUUACUCUCGCUGCAAUAACAAGUUGUCACCAGUUCAUUGGCUUCAAACAACACAAACUUCCGGCUCUGUGGUCAGAAGUCCAACAGAGGUCUCAUGGGUUACCCAAGCACUUUUCUGGAUGCUCCUAGGCAGAAUCCACUUAUCUUUUCUAGCGUUUGAAGCUUUUACAAGCUUUUACAUCUGACUCUUUCUUCUGUCUUUAAAACCAGCUGCCCAGUGAGUUCUCUAAACUCUAUCUCAAUGGGUCUCUUCAGACUCCUUCUCCCUUGUCAGACCCUUGUGACAGGACAACCCAGGGAAACCUGUCCUCCUCGGGGUCUGUUGAUAAGAUGUCUCACCAUUUGCCAUAGUGGUCUAGCCAUAGAGGUUAAAAAUGGACAGAUGCUGUAAUGAUUUAGUUGUGACCCCAUAUGUUAGAAGCUUGACCUCCAGUAUAAACAUUGAGAUGUGGUGGGACUGUCAGGAGGUAAGGCCCAACGAGAGGAGGGAAGCCUUGGGUUGUGCCUUUAUAGAGGAUUUACAUAGUUCUUAUAGGAUCCAAUGUUGCUGGGGCUUCUUGUCUUACUAUUUGUCUCUAUCUGUUGCACAAACUCCCACCAUGGUGCUAUCAUAAUAUAACCCAAUGAAAGGGCCCCCACCAGAGGACAAGUUAAUGUAGUCGCCCAGUGUUGGACUUCUAGGCUCAAAGUAUUAGCUAAAUAAACUUCUCUGUUAAAAACAACAACAACAACAACAACAACGAAACUCCCAGCUUUGAGUAUUUUGUUACAGUGAUGGAAAUUUAAGCAUUGUCUUUGAGGGGGAGGGUAGGAACAGGGAGCAAGUGUUCUCUCUACCACAGUUAGUAGGAAUAUAUUGCAUAGACUCUUAAGUUCUCAGGAAGGAUGUAAAUUUCAUGACACUUCUCCAAAGCAAAUUGGUGGUUGGGAAAAUAAGCCAUAAAGUGUCUUCGUCCAGCCAAUGUUUCUGAUACUCUGUUCUCAAGAAUUGGUGCUAAUUCUGUGCCUGUGCAUGUGGGUGGGUGUGGGUGUGGGGCUCUCAAGUGUUCAUCACUGCUUUAUCAUUACUACUGUCCUCCCCAAACUGGAAAUAACCUUACUGUCCAGUCGCAGAAAGGCUCACUAAGCCACACCAUAUCCAUAUAAGGAAACAUUAAGCUGACAGUGAAAAUUUUAUUCAUGAAACUUUCUUAUAAAAAUACACGGUUCGGUCCCCAGCUCCGAAAAAAAAAAAAGAACCAAAAAAAAAAAUACACAUAUGUCCUAAUGUUAAGUCAAACUUAAUUUUGUUGUGAACAUAACACAGAUACAAACAUAAAAUAGACUAUAUGAAAAACAAAAAAGGGAUAUAAAGUAGUCAUAGACUCCGCCUGGAAAGGAAAGUGUGAUUGGCCAUGGAAGUUAGCGAAGGCCUGUGGGCCCAUCUGGAGCCUAGGCGAGAAAGCCAGGCCUCUAGCACAAGCUUCCCUUAGGUCCUAAUGGACUUCUGGGCAGGUAAACAUUGCACUAGGAUAGGGCUGGGGAGGUGGCUCCAUGGGUGGGUAAAGCUCUUGCUACAAAGGCCGGAGGGCCUCAGUUCUCGUAAAGCAGGGAGAAUUCGUAAUCUGUGAUGUAGAAAGCAGAGCUGGAAGCUUGUGAGCCAUCCAGUCUGUGCAUACAGUGGUAAGCAAUAAUAGAUCCAGGUCCAAGAGGGUAGAGAGUAAGACUGACAACUGAUACAUGCAGCGCCAUAUGUAUACGUGCACUCACACAUAUAAAUAUGAACACACAUGUUCACACACACCGCUGCCACCGCCGCCGCCAUCACCACCACCCUAAACAUCAACUGUCUCUGUCUGAACCAGCCUGCCUUCUAAGGACUCCUGCUAGAUUUGUUUGAGGAACUUUAUGAAAAUGUAGAUGCCUAGGGCCUGCUCACCUCCAGAAGAUCCCAUAAGGUUGUGUCUGGCAAGUUAAACAUUCCCUUGAGAUACCACAAGCUUUCUUCAUUCAGAAUCACAGCAUCUGGUCAAGGCCCACCCCUCUCUCGGUCUUCUCCGGAUUCCUUUAGUAUGCUGUGUCAGGAACUAAGUGUUCAUGUCUGGCUUUAUCAUGAUUCCCAGUAGAUUAGCUCCCCACUUGUUACUGUUAGGAGAAUAUCCAGAGGCCCCUGAGAGCUGCUGGCACUGACUGGGUUCCAGCAACCCCUGCGGCUACUUUAGAGCUUGUCCUUCUGUGUUUUGGUCUGUCUCUCUCCAUCCCUCCACAUCCUACUUCAGAUGAGUCUGCAGGUCAGCUUUAGUCAUUUAUUCGCCUUCCCUCUUUGCAAUUAGCCACUGGGUUACCCAUGUUCUCUUUGACUAUGCAGAUUAUCUCCCUCCAUUUUUUGAGACCCAGUAGAUUAAAGUUCUCUUCAGGACCAAUUAGAAAAACCCUAAAGAGGGGUUGGGGAUUUAGCUCAGCGGUAGAGCACUUGCCUAGCAAGCGCAAGGCCCUGGGUUCGGUCCCUAGCUCCGGAAAAAAAAAAAACCCUAAAGAAAAAACAAACAAGAGAUAAGCAGUAUAACAGCCAAGAGUCAGAAUUCUAGAGCCAGAGUUCAAAUCCUGGUUGAGUGAAUGUAGACAAGACAUAGGAUCUUUGUGCCUCAGUUUCCAUAUUUGUCAGUGAGGGUGAUCAUCAUACUAUUUCCUUGGGUUCUCAGAAUUUGGCAAGCUAAUGAUACACCCAAACAUUGCCCAGGCCAGAGCUUUAUGUUCCAUGUCCAUGGAGUUAACCAACUUCGGACUGAAAAUAUUCAUAUGUAUGCAUGUGGUGUGUACAUAUGUGUUCAUGUGUGCAUGUAGAAGCCCGAGGACAAUGUUGAGUGUCUUCUUCUAUAGUUGUCCACCUUAUGUUUUGAGCCAGGGUUUUAUUGAACCUAGAGCUCACCUAUUUGCCUAGAUUGGUUAGUCAAUGAGUUCUAGGGCUCUACCUGCCUCCGCCCUCCCUCCUCUAAUGCUGAGCUUACAGAUGUGCGUCAUUGCACCGGGCUUUUUGUCGGGUGUUGGAGAUCUGAACGUAGAGCUCUCAUCUUCUCUUGCAUCAUGAAUAUUUUUUUAAAUUGAAGCUACACUCAACAUUGACACACAAACCUAUUUUCUAUUCACUAAGCAAUGAAGGAUAAGAACUACACAUUGCAUUUAUAGUGAAAUUAGGUAUCCAAUUAGUUACUUCUUUUGUUUUUGUUGCUCUGAUAAAAUACCUCAACAACAGGCACAUAAGAGAAGGUUUAUACCCUGGGCUCACGGUUCCAGGGUAUAAUUAAUCUUGGUGGGGAUGGUGUAAGGACUCAAGCUUAGCUGGUCACAUGGCAUCUACAGGAAGGAAGCAGAGAGUGCUGGUGCUCAGCACUUGUCUCAUUCAGUCCAGGAUUCAAGCCUAGGGAAUGGUGCUGCCCACAUUUGAGGUAAGUCUUUCCAUCUCAAUUAACCUAAUCAUGAUACUCCCUAACAAACAUGCCCAGAGAUUGGUUUCCAAGACAAUUUUAGGUCCUAUCAAGUUGACAAUAUAACAGUCACAGGUAUCCAAAUUUAUCUAGAGAUGAUAAAAAGCUUACAGGAGCCUUUUCAUAGGUUAUACUAUCUGGGUAACAUCAUUCGUUCUCUUUAGUAUAAGGGACUUUGCACAACCAAGGAUGUCACUACAGGGGCAGGAGUAUGGCAUUCUGAAACCAGCCUCUGCCCCAUACACAGAGCUUUGACUGUGUGGUAAGUAUGUCAGCUCCUGCAGAUGCCAUGAGAACUGCUUAAUCUCCUUUAUGAAUGCAAUUUUAGUGACUAGAGGCCCUUACUGUGCAGAAGGAACCUGCUGCUUUCACUGGAGGAAGCAAAUUAUAAGGAAGAAGCUGAGAAAUCUGCAUGAGUCAAAAACCCAAAUAAAAGAAUGUGGCUAAAAAGGGAGAGAAAAUUUUAAAACUUGAAAUUCUCAUUGGCCAAUCACACAUUCACCAAGGCAACAGUCCUGGAUCCUUCCUCCUCCUCGGUUCCUUCACAUUCUGCCCCAGCAAGCAGUGGCUUUGUCUUCCUCCUUCUCCCUACUCCUGCAUCACCGGCUCCCAUUCAGGCGACCUUCGUUUUCCCUCUGAGCCAUGGCCACAGCUCCUGGUCUGUGCUCCAUGCCCACCCACUUUGGCCCCCUUCAGUAAUCCAGUGUAUUCCCCACUCCCCCACAGUAGCCAGAAAUACAAACGUAGGCCAUCAGGGUGGCUCAGCAGGCCAAGGUAUGUAUCACCAUGUGUGUGCCGCACCACAGAAGGACAGAAACAACUCCCACAAUGUUUCCUAAUCUCCACACCUGUUACAUGGAUUAUACAUGCCCCAUACAGUAAAUAAAUAAAUGUUAAAAAUCUGAAAUACAAACCUAAUUUUAUUCUUACCAUAGAUAUCCUAUUGCCAUAACCUGGUUCUAAAAGAAUAAAGUAAAAGCCUUAACAUCUCACCAGACCCUCUAGAGUCUGGACCACACUUAUCUCAACUUAUUUGGUUGAGACCAAAGGGGUCUCAACCCACAGGUUGAGAACCAUGAUUCUACAUUAUCAGCAUCUUUUUCUGCUUUACCCAUGAUGCCUUCCUUCAGUCUUGCAUAAUGAUGAAGCUUCCUCAGGUCAGAGAGCCUCUGCAUGUAUUAUUCUCUUUCUGCACCUUGUUCUCUCCUUCCUUAAAAAUUUAAUAGAUUUAUUUAUUUAUUUAUUUGUUUGUUUGUUUGUUUUCAAGGCAGGGUUUCUCUGUGUAGCUCUGGCUGCCCUGAAACUCCAUCUACAGACCAGGCUAGCCUUGAAUUCACAGAGAUCCACUUACUUCUGCCUCCUAAAGUUGUGUGCACAGCCACUGCCCAGCUAUGACAACAAUAACAACAACUACUACUACUACUGCUGCUGCUGCUGCUUCUCCUCCUCCUUCAAUUUAUUUAUUUAUGUAUGUAUGUAUUUAUUUAUUUAUUUUAAGUAUAUGAAUGUAUAUGACUGUAUCUGCAUGUACAUCUGUGAGUCAGAAGAGAGCAUCAGAUCUCACUAUAGGUUGUGAGCCACCAUGUGAUUGGUCAGCGACAGAGUUCGUGUCCAUCUCCUCGCCCAUUCCUAUCCUCACACACAGCCUCUACGUCCACCAACACGGAGAAACACUGCAGUUUGUCGGUCAGUGAACCCACAUUAACACUGUCUACCGCUAAACACGACCGUUUAAUUUACACCAGUGCUGACUGUAUGGACAACCUGUGGAUUUAAAGAACUGGGCUAUGGCAGGUGGCGCCUGGCAGUAGUUCUCCACCUUCCUGAUGCUGCAACCCAUUAAUACCUCGUGUUGUGGUGAAGCCCCCCUCCCAACCAGAGCAUUAUUUUUGUUGCUACUUUAUAACUUUUUUUUUUGGACCUGGGGACCAAAACCAGGGUCUUGCGCUUGCUAGGCAAGCGCUCUACCACUGACCUAAAUUCCCAACUCCAUAUAUCUAAUAUGCACAGGUUGAGAACCAUGAUUCUAUAUCAUCAUAUAGAACUUUUUACUCUUCUAAAAGUCCCUUGUUAUACAUAGUGUACUCUUCCUUCUUCUCAGACCCCUGGUAAGUACUGAUAUCUUGAUACUUUCCUAGUGUUGUUUCUUCUAGAGCAUUCUAUCAUUGAAAUAAUGCACUACAUGGCUUUCCAGAUUGGCCUCUCUCACUGAGCAAUAUGUUUUUAAGAUUCCUUCGUAUCUCCAUGGCAUGAUAGCUCAUUCCUUUAUCAUCUGAGUAAUAGUUCACUGCAGGGCUGCAUCUGUUUGUCCUUUUUCUGAUGAAAGGACAUCUUGGUCGCUUUCAAGUCCUGACUAUUAUAAACACAGCUGCUGUAAACAUCUGCACGUAGAUUUUUGUAUGGAUGUAAGUUUUCAACUCCCUUGAGCAAAUACCGAGGAGCAAGCCUGCUGUGUCGUUUGGCAAGAGCGUUUCGCUUUGUAAGAGCCCACCAAACCGUCUCUCCAUUCCAUCUCACCGACAGGAAGUCAGUGUCUCGUUGAUUCACUCCUUUUUAGCUUUUGGCAUUGUCCGUGUUUUGGGCUUUAGCCGUUCUACUUGUAUAAGAUUGUGGUGGGUUUUGGUGUGUCUAGAAAUAGAAACUUGCGUGUUAGGCAAGCUCUCAGUCACUGAGCUACACCUCCAGCCCCACCGUUAUUGUUUUAAUUAGCAGUUUCCUAAGGAUCACACAUCAACACUUUUUCACACCUUCGGGCCAUCAGUGCAUCAUCUUCUUUGAUGUAUGUUCUGUGGACACCCUUUGCCCGUUUUUUAAACUGGUGGUUUCCUCUCCUUUUAUGACUUUAGGAAAUGCUCCAUCUAUGUCUUAGAUCCCAGUUAUCUUUCCUCCAUCUUUUUAUGAGCUCUUAGAGUAGUAAGUGUGCUGCACAUGUCUGGAACUGUGAUCUUAUACAUAUUCAUAAAAUUCUUUGAAUGAUGUCUGUUUUUCUUGUGUUUGUAAGAGCAGACAGCACAUCCAGCCUUGGUUCCUGGACUGACUGCUGAGAAUGUUAGUACUGGCCCUAACGCAGCAGGACCUACGUUAACAGAAGGAAGGGUGCCUAAUAACCUCACGUAAGGUGAAGGAGGAAAAGGGGUCCUCUUGCAGAGAGCACAUCCAGUACAAGGGGAGCACAGGAUUCCAAAGACCAUUUACAAUGGGAGGGGAGGGCAGGAGGCCAAAUGUGAUUCCCAAAGCAGAACAACCAAACCCAUGGGACCAGUGCCGGGGAUGCUAAUGUGUACACUGGGCCAAGACAUAAACAAAUGUCAGGAAAACGUUUCUUUCUUCUUCUUUUAACUAUUUGAAGCAAGAAAACAGCCAGGCCAAGCCAGGUCCCAUACAUAUUAGAGGAGGGUUUUUAAUGCACUGGAUUGCUCUCCCUCAAGAGGAGUAAUUCUCUAACCGGAAGGCAGUAAAGACAAUUCCAGAGGGAAGACGUCAGACUGGAGGUCAGUGCCGAAUCUGGGGACGCUCACACUGAUUGGACUCCGACUUCAGAUGAACCUCAUUAGAACUUGGGGACAGAACUGUAGAGCCAUCAUCCACAAUUUCUGAGAAACCUGGGCAAGAAGCCCAGUACCCAGGAUGUGUGAAAUGUUAGUCAGCUUUCAAAAAGCAAGAAUGUGCAAAUGGAGUAAAUCUCAUGGCCUCUGACUUCCAAAGUUGAGAUUAAUUAAUGCUAUGAAUCUGGACUAGAUUUGUAACAGAGUGCCUAGAAAGUGGAAUUUAAAAAAUUUUCUGCCUCAGUAAGCUUCCAUUUGAAAAUUGCCAGCAAGCAAGAUGAAGACAGCCAGCUUCCUUGGAGGAAGACCGUCCCUAGAAUAAUCACAUAAGCAAUCUUCUUCAGCCAAGGGAAUGUGGGCAUCUACACCAGUACCCGAGGGGGCCGUCAAGAUGGCUUAUCAGGUACCACUAACAGAUGAACCUAAUCACCUCAGUUCGAGUCCUCAGGACGCACAUGAUAAAUGAGACAAUUACUCUCACCGGGCCUGAAUCUUCCCACUGUGGCUGAACUAGCUAGCCAGCCAGCCCUCAGAACCCUUGUGUCUCUGCCUCCCCUCACUGAGGGGCUACAGGCUGCCGCACUGGAACCUCGGUCCUCCCAUUUUCUGCCUCAGAGCUUUCAGUCUGGGCUGCUCCCUCCACUGUACAGGUCUCGGCUGCGCAGGCAUGCAAGCCCCAAACCGCUUCUGUCCCUGCCAGGAAAGAAUCCUUGUGAACACUUCUACUGAUGCAGAACAAGUUGAGAGCAUCGGAUGGACAGAAGGCUGCAGAGCCUCGGGAUGAAGGGCAGGAAGGAAGAAACAGAGUCAGGAGUCAGGAAGAGUCCAGAAGAUGAGAAAGGAUGGAAGAACUGGACAAGAAGAAUUGAAGAAAGCCUGUGAGGGGAGCUGCAAGGGUAAACAUGGCCACCAGGUCCUUGAGGCCUCCCAAGCAGGUUUUGGAUGCUGGUACCUGACAAGACCUUUCCCGUUCUUCCCAGCUCUGUCAUUUAGUUAUCGUCCACACCCCAGCCCAACCCUACUCCCCACUGCCUUCCAACUGCCUCUGGGCCCCUGGGCUGCAGUUUUGGCCUUGGAUAUUAAGCCACCAGGUAAACCUUAUAGUUCAAUACUCUUGGACUAUCUAAACUUCACCAGAAGCCUCCCAUGGGAAGGCCGACAGAGAGGCUGGGAAAAAUUAUCAAGAUGCCACAGCCUUAUCUGCUAAAACCAGUCAGUCACAAUAGCAAGAAUGUCUAUUGAUCACCAUGGCCAAUGCCACAGGACAAAUCCCACUGACAUCAAUGUCCAGAAAAGUAGUAGAAAUGACAGAAAUAGGUUAGUAUAUGUGCUCAGGCCUAGUGGGGCCUGAGGACCAACUAUUGGUUCAUCCGAAUGAACUACUUGGUUCAUCCGAAAUGAACCAAAGAAAGACAGCUGUUCCUCCUUGCCUCUAUGUUGUUUCUGGAGUCUCUACUGAGUGCUAGGUACAAGGACAUCUUCUACUUCAUACCCGGUCCUUUAAGAGCCAUUUGGGCCAAAAGUCAGAUCUCCAAGAGGCAUAUUUAAGAUGUUCCCAUUCUGUAUUCUCACAUUGGUGCCUUUGUGACUGUCCCCUCUUCAGUGUGGCAGGACCUGUGUCUUACUUUUAGCCAACAGAACGAGGAAAAGGUGGGGGAGAUCACAGCCAUUGAUAUAUUAUAUCAUCAAAGACAUAGUCUUUCCUAGCAGCCAGGCACCAGAGACCUACUCUAAGGAAAUCAGCAUCAGCGAUCUCUGCAAGUUAGGAACAGCUAUUGGCUAGCAAGGAGGCUACCUGCAGUUCAAAGCCACAGGGAUGCUCCUGAGCCUAGAAGUGAACCCCCAGGUGAGGAUGCAACCCUGUUUUGGUUACACCUUGAUUAUAUCUAGCUAAGAGCAUCCCACUAAGCCGUGUCUGGACUCCUAGAAACUGUGGGGCAAAUACAUGUUGUUCUAAGUUCCUGAGUACAUGAACAUUCAUCAUAAAACAACAGAGAAAGGAUGUAAGUAUGAUGCCUGUCCUUUGUGUGAGAAACCUGAAGCUCAGAGACUUUGGUAAGAAUCCCACCCUUAAUCUGAGGUCCAGAGGGACCAGAACCUGCCCUAGACUGCAUACAUAUGUUGAUGUGCUUGACAAAUUGAUCAUUGUUCUUCAGUAGCCCCUUAAGAUAAGUGGCCUUCAUGCUCAUUGGUUGAAAUACCGGCUUUCCAACAAGUGUUUGUUGAAUAUUCAGUAUACACAGUCUUGUACCUAAUUCAGGAGAAAUAAUGGUUUGCUACACAGACACACACACCUGUGUCCAGAUGGCAAUGGGCUCCAUUGAGAGUGUGGACAGUGGGCAGGGUGUUUAUAUGAUGGAGGUUAUAGAAUAUAAAUGGAUGGAAUGAAAUGGAAGCAAGCAAGGCAUCCAGCCUUGGUCCAGGGCCAGGACCAGGCUCCUUGAGUAAGGUGGGCCUGACAGGGAGCCAGCCCUUUUACAUUUGGUGGAAGUGAGUAAGUCAGUGGCUUUACUGGUCAAAGAGUCCCAGGGAAGAGGACUCUCCCUGCAAUGUGCGAUGACCCUGCUUCUAAGUAUUAGUGUCUAAGACACCUGUUCCAAGGAUCUAAGACCCCUGUGACUAACUAGUGAUACUCAGAGAUUAGGGUUCACCGAAUACCACGAUGCACGCAUCACAGGUGGCUAUGAUUGCACGGGCCUGUGUACCUGGCCCUUCUCCUCCAGGGCCAGCAGGGGGGAGAUGGCAGGUGGAAAGAGACAAGAAGAAAAGUGGAGAAAUGAAUCAGGGACUGAUGCGCAGAGGCAAAGCAAAGGGCAGGUGUUAGAAGGGGACCUCCAUGUGCCAAGUUUCAGCUUCUAUAUGACUCAGCAGCUCCAGAGGUCUUUACCACUGAGCUGGCUGGCUACUAGGGACCAGGCAGGUUCCUAGCAGGAAGCAGACAGUUUAUACAAACAGGCCAUUUGAGGAGCAUUCCAUAAAGUGACUAUUGUUUCAAGUCCUGGCGGAUAUACAAAAGAUUGUAAGAACCUGGACCGAGAUCAGCCGCCCAUCGAACUGUCAGAGCUCACCAACCAAGGGAGGUUAUCAGAACAGCAGGGGGCUGGAGCUGAGUGGAUAGGGCCCCAGGCUGGGCUGUGGCUGUACACUUGGGUGUGCACGCAGGCUAUGGCACCCUGAAGGAAGCGUCCUGUGUCCUGACCUUGCCCUGCUUUCUGCUUCGCUCAGGCCAAGAGUGCACCCCAUGGGUCAGACCUGCCAGCACAGCCCACUCAGGUCAGCCUUCUGUGGAGCAGAGAAGAACAAUGGUGGAGGCCGACUGUGGCAAAGUAGUUGUCCAGUACUACCCAGAGGAAAACCCAUCUUCUUUUUGGUUAUGUUCUUCCAAGCUCAAGAUCCACAGCUCUCAACCUGCAUGCGGGUCAUGACCCCUUUGGCAAACCUCUACUCUGAAAACUAUUUCCAUUACGACUCCUAACAGUAGCAAACUAACAGUUAUGAAGCAGCAAUGAAAAUGAUUUUAUGGCCGGGGUCACCACAACAAGAGGAACUGGAGUAGAGGGUCCCAGCAUGAGGGAGGUUGAGAACCACUGCACUCAAUGGUAGACACCCGUGCACACACACCCUAUUGCAGGGGCCCAUGAAAGCCCACUUUUAAGACAGGUUUGCCAACAAAUUCUAACAUGUCCUUGAACACCCCUCGGCCACUUUGCCUCCUACAGUCAUGUGAGGAGGCAUUCUCAGGAUUGACAAAAUAUUCAUCAACUCUGAAAAACAUUCAAGAUGCUUAAUGUCCUCUAGGGUCAAAUAUUAAGCCAAGAUAUACAUUUUAUGUAUAAAAAAAAAAAGCAGAUACAACUAUCUUGUUAAUAUGCAAAUGUUCUUUUAUCUUCAAUAAAUGGUAAAAUUAUGUGCAUAUAAAAUCAUUUUAAACUACAUUAAUUUGUGAUUUAUUACAGAAAAGGAAGGCAGGGGAGUAGAGGGAGCCAUUCUUCACUUUGCCCUUCUCAGAUGGGGACUCUGGACAAUCCACGCAACCUCCUCCUCUCUUUCCAUUAAAGGAAUGGAGUCAAGUCCAGAUACCGAGUGGGCUAGGAAUUCUUCUCAAUGGAUAUGCACUGACGCUUCCCUUUCUGUAAGUAAAUCAUGAUAUGCCACAAUAGGGAGGAGACGGCUUCUCUGUACCUCUGAGAAGGCACAGACUGAGUCCGCCACAGGUUCUGAUGCAAACCAGGUAGACAUGGAAGGUGAGGCCAAAGAAAUGAUGCUUGCUUUCCCACCGGAGGGGUGAGUGAAAAUCACAAAGGAUGAUGGGGGAGGGGAGGAACCAGACGGGUGAAAAGGCUUGAGUCAGGAAGAUGUUGAGUUAGGGAGGCUGAAGUGUACACAAGAAAGAGACCACUGUAGACUGAAGACUUCAGAUCUAUGAGACGUGGAGCUCCCAUGCCAGUUCCAGCAGACUGAUGUAGUGGGAUUGGGGCAGGGCCUUUAUGAAGAUGCAGUCUGGUAUGGGACUAUGGUGACUGAGUGAUUAAUUUGGGGAGAUAUUUGAUAGGGGAUAGGUAAGGUCUGAGUGGCCAGGGAAGCUUGCCGAGAGGCAGAAGAGUCAAAGAUAAGGCAUCAGUGAGAUGAUUUGUUCAUUAUGAUGUUAUAGCUAGAGAAACACUGUCAGGGCCAAGGUCAAAGGCAGCAUAGAGCACAGAAAGUGAAGGGUUCCUUUGAGCACAUCACAUGUCCAUAAUAUGGAAAUAACACAACUCCAUUAACUACACAGGAUGUUGUAAGAGUACAGAUAACGGCUACAUCUGUUCACACACAAAAAAAUAGUUGAGCAGUGCUUGCAAUGUAUACUAGCCAGGGUAGUGUGUGGUACACUAGUGGAGACUCUAAGGAGAAGGAAAUGAAAGCUAGGAGGCGAUGAAGGUUUUUGUCCAAGGUUUUCACUUAAUGUCAUUCAUCCAAGCAGGAUGGAUCAAGAUUCUCAGAGGAGUUUGAGGUUUACAUGAUCUUGGAGAGCUCCCCUUUAGAAAAAGAAUAUUUUAAAAAAUUUUAUAAAGAUGUUACAAUCUGAAGAAACUUCCAUUAGAAGGGGCCAGUGUCAGCCAGUUGGUGGCUCCCAGCACAGGCUCCAGGGUCCCUCAUGAGCAACAUCACUGUGGGAAGUGGAGGGUAGGUGUGUUCCAUAGCAAGAAACUGUGUGACGUAGAGCAAGAAGCCAUUGUGCCAGCCCUCGGUUUCCUGAUGGGCAAAUGUUAGCAACGCCACAUCCUUACAUGGUCUUAAGGGGUGAGUAAAGACAGAAGUAAAAUACUCAACUGAAUCUUGGGAAUAAAGGUAACCAUUUUUAAACAUUUUAUUCCUAUUCCACACAGAUGGAGAACCAGCAGUCUCACCAUCUGAAACAGACCAGAAAGAACUAGAAUCCAAAGGGAACUGUGACUCAGAAGAUACGGCUCCAGGGUAGAGCUUAGCAUUUGGGAGGCUCAGGGUUCUAUCCCAGCACUUGAGGGAAGGGGAAAAAAAGGAGGGUGUUUUGGUCCUAGACGACAGGCAAGCCCCACAAAGCCUGUGACUGCUGGGCUUAGUGGCGCCAGAUGUAUAUACUGUCUCUGGCUUUUGACCUGAAGAAUCGGUCUGUGUCAAUGACCCUCAUGUGCUCUGCUCUGAAGCAGAGCUUUAUGGUGACCAAACAUCUCAAGACACAGCUGCCUCUCAAGCACCAAUGCGUGGAUGCAACCAGCAAGAAGAGCAGAGGCUGCAGGCUCCAGCAAGCCUGGAUUGGAUUCCUGCUCUGCUGAUGGCAGCCUGGAACUGGUAUCAGGGGUUCUGUUGUCUGAGCUUCUGUUAUUUCACUUGCAGCCUGACUGGAUGAAAAUCCAACCAGUGCUCCCCAAGGGAGCUUGUAGGAUGCUGCAGAGCAGGCAAAAGUCACCACACCCUCCGGGGGCUGUCUGUAAGAAAAGAAACCGUAUUUUGAAGGCCUUGAGUAUGGGUGUCUCUGAAAGUCUCCCCAGGCCUUGGGUGUGUGUGUGUGUGGCUGCCACAGAAAAUACUCAUAGUCAUCUAACAAAGCAAGUGUGGCCCGUGGUGGCUGCUAGUGACGUUCAAUGACCUAAAAUAAAUAAACCCAUAAUCAGAGGGUGCUCCGGUUUGGCUGCUGUGGGCUUGCUUGCCCACAAGUCAUAAUAAUUUACUGGGAUAAAACAUCGGCAGUUAGCCCUCAAAGUCCCGUUACUAAGAGGUUAUGAGAUAGACCAUCUUUCCAAAAAGAAAAACCACUACAGGAUGUUCCAGAUUGGAGCCACAAUCACAGCCUAAGCAGAGUGGACUUGCUGUUGUUGAUAAAUCUCUAUAAAGAGUUUGGGAAUGGAGUAGCUGGGAGAUAACCCAACUGUACACAUCACUGGUUUGCCAGUAGAAUAUAAUAAAAUCAACUCAGAGGUA